UGAGGAAUUUUCGAGCUUUUUCUAAGGAAUUCGAAAAUUUGAUUGUGAGAGCACUGAUUACAAACUGCAGCCAAACACGAUGUAAAGAUGUAAACACUAAAACAUUCUAAAACACUGGAUGUAAACAAAUCAUGGACUCAGAAAGAAGCAAAAUGCAACUUUCAGACGAAAAAUAUUUGGGUAUGUAUAAUAUAAAGUGUGGGGUAAAUAAACACACAAAACUCUGUCAGAGUAAUCUAACUUGCUGACAUUCAUUAACCUGACAAGUUCUUGACAAGUCUGGAAGGACUGGAACAAGUUGUUAUCAAUAUGCCAUCCUAGCCCGCGCACAGGCAUUGCUCUGGGUACGAGAUUGACUAAUGUACUUGCCAUGACCGGGCAUUUGUAGCUGUGCAUGCUUUCAACCGGGGGCAGUGGGGCACAGGCAGUCAGGCGCACACAAUACACUUUGUCAACAUGUUGGGUUAUUACCCUACAGGUAUUUGUCAUGACGGAGAAAAUACAGAAUGAAUUAUAAAGACCUAUAUUGUAAUAUAAACAGCAGAGCCUGAAAUAAUGGUUGGACAUUGGACAUUUUCUGUGUGCUGUGUAUUUACGAAAAAACGAAAUAUACAAUAUAUACAUCAAUAAUGUGGUUGUGGUUUCCCUACUACUGACCUUUUUUUUUCUGCCGAGCUACAGUAUUCUUUUUUCAACGCAAUUGACGGCCGUGCAACUCUAUUUUCUCAGGGUGGUUGCGGGCUCUCACACAGUGUGCCAAAAUUGGCGUCUGUUGACACAAUUUUGAACGAAAAUACCAAAUUGCCAAAAUUCAUCCAUAGGAAGUAUAUACAGACUAUUAUACACACAUCACUAGCAGGCCUUUAGGGUCCUAAAACAGGGCGUCCAAUAUCAAUAUUGGUACAACGAUACAUCUACAGUAAAGGGGGAGGUGGGUUAGAAAAAACGUUCCUCUGGAAAACUUUUGAAGUUUACAUUACUAAAACAAGUAAUAACUUAAUUUAAAAGUAUGUUUAUCUACUGUGCACAGUGGUGGCGCCAGGGGGGGGGGCAAAUUAUCCCCCCCAUUUUGCCCCCCCCCCCCUCAAAAAAAUUUAUUAGUCACUGAGAGCGACUAAACGCUACACAAGCGUUUUGUCAUUAUCGGAAAAUGUAUGGCUUAUAAGUUGUCAUUACUCAUUAGCGAAUGCGCGUAAUAUACAUGAAACUGUCUUUUACAGUUUCAUAACGCAAUAUUAGUUUGUAAAUCUCUGAAUGGUAAAACUUGCCAAUACUCCAAUAAUACGUUUCAAAAAAGACAAAAAAGCUUUAGUUUUGCAAAGUUAAAUUCUCAAACCUAUAAAGGCCCACACAGGCCGGACGCGAUUCGGCAACGCGACGCGAAUUUUCAGUUUUCAAAAACAAAUAAAACCGUCAACGGAUAAAAAUUUUACAAGGUAUGCAGACCAAAUAGCUAAAAUUGCUACUUAAGUGGUCCCGAAUAUUUGAAAAACAAUGAAUGAGUGAAAACUGAAAAUUUGCGUCACGUUGCCAAAUAGCGUCCGGUCUGUGUGGGCCUUAAGGCACCAAUAAGAUGAAAGUAUCACAAAAUUAUUUGAAUAAUCCGGCCACAUCGGUAUCGCAUAUAUGGGGGGCGAAUAUCCUAAAGGGGGAGCGAUAUUCCUGGGGCAUUCGCCCCUCUGGGGGCGAUAUUCCUAAGAUAUUCGUCCCCCGGGGGCGCUAUUCCUAGGAAUAUCNNNNNNNNNNNNNNNNNNNNNNNNNNNNNNNNNNNNNNNNNNNNNNNNNNNNNNNNNNNNNNNNNNNNNNNNNNNNNNNNNNNNNNNNNNNNNNNNNNNNNNNNNNNNNNNNNNNNNNNNNNNNNNNNNNNNNNNNNNNNNNNNNNNNNNNNNNNNNNNNNNNNNNNNNNNNNNNNNNUCUCUUCCCCCCCCCCCCCGAAUAUGAGUUUGCCCCUCAAAUGCCCCCCCUCCCUCCCAAAUUCUGAGGCCUCGCACCGCCACUGACUGUGCAUUAUGUUGUUUUGAGCGCCGCACUGAAACAGGGAACAAGAAAUUCGAAAAGAAUAAGCGCAGGCCUGGGCCCCAAGAGUGCGGAGCCCGUGGAAUAUAUGCCGCUUCUGCCAUAUGGUAAAUCCGGCACAGUGUGUUGGGUGUCCAAAUGAUAUCGAAAAAAGGCCCGAUCACUAUAAAAAAUCCAAUCAGGGUGCAAUAAUGUAGCCUGUGUACAGACUGUAUUAUAUUGUCAGCAUUUAUACACUUUAUGAAAAUCUGUGGCAUUGCUUGUUGACCUCCAGCAGUGCUACCCAGAUCUGAGUAGUUGAUUCUGAUUGGUCAUGACUGAACUUAAUGGAUUGUGAUUGGCUGGACUUAAAUAUCAAAUGAAUGAGCUUUGCGAAUCGAAAUAAUAUAUUAUGUUCUUGACACUUGAUGUUCACUGUCUGUAAAUUUUGCAUUUGGAUCUUAGCUGAGUCUGAGGAACAGUAGUUGUCCCAGGCCACCCCCUCGGUCAUCUGAGCUAACACCUCACCAUCCAAUCACCUCUAAUUGCUUCAAAUUACUAUUAAAAUUUUUGAUGAAAAAACUGCUUACAGUCUAAUGAAAUACAUCAAGGAGUUGAAAAUAACUCUUGAGUGUGAUAUGUUAUUUUUUCUGUUAUUCAAAGCCAGGGCGUAAAAAAAAUACCUGUGGUUCCGGUUCCCGACCGACCCUAUUUUUUUCUGCCGACCCUAUUAUUUUUUCAACGCGAUUGACCUAUUUUCUCCAGGUGGUUGCGGGCUGCUCGUACAGCGUGCCAAAAUGGCGUCUGUUGUCACAAUAAUUAUUGAACCAAAUUGCCUCAAUUCGUCCAUAGGAAAUACGCACCUCUAGUUAAUAUUGAUGUCGGGACUCACUGCAAAUCGCCCAGCGAAAAACCGGCAAAACCAUGAAAAAAAUAUUCAAAAAAAAAGUUAUUUCCGACCUACCGACCUUAAUUUUUUCACGAUAUGAAACCGGAACCACAGGUAUUUUUUUUUACGCCUAGUGAGAAUUGUGUUGACUUUUGAACUCACUAUCAUGACCAAACAGAAUCAGCAAUCCACGUCUGGGUAGCGUGACUGGGCGUCGACACAUGUACCGAUAACAUGUCCGUAAUUUGGGUAUUACAGUAUGGCGCCCGGGGGGGGGGGGGUGAGCUUGUUUUGGACAACCGAAAGGGUGUGGCAGAAGUCGUGCCCGAUGGACAUUUCAGGGGUUAAUGGACCUAUUCCCUAUUAAUGUACAAAAUUUUGAUCUAGACAAAGUCUAGACAGGAAUUUCAUCACAGCUUUAAAGAGCAUCACAAAAUUAGUAAUAUUCCGAAGUUGCGUUGCGAAAUGUUGUAAAAUGCGGAUAAUAUAGCCCUACGAAGUUUGCCGUUUUUCAGUCAUUUUGUAUUACGCACGGGAAAUUGAUACCGCUUUCUGAAAAAAGGUAUCAAUUUCCCGUACGUAAUACAAAAUGACUGAAAAACGGCAAACUUUGCAGGGCUGUAUUAUCCGCAUUUUACAACAUUUUGCAACGAAAGUUCGGAAUAUUACUAAUUUUGUGAUACUCUUUCAAGCUGUGAUGAAAUUUUUGUCUAGACUUGCAUGUCUAUAGAUCAAAAUUUUGCUCAUUUGGGAAUAGUCCAUUAACAUACCAUUUUCACUAUUAACUUACAGAAAUUUGUACAAUUUUUCAGUAAUAUUUUCCUAAAUUUAUAAAAAAAAUUCCUACAAAAUUUUUCAACAAAUCUUGUAAAAUUCUUUGCUGAAUUACAUAUUUUUUUUUGCCCAUCGAGCGUGUCGUGUUGCUCGACAAAACUACAAUUUAUUUUACAACAUUGGGGGGGGGGGGGUAUCGCACCUUUAUUUUGUGUAGAACAUCUUUAUUUUGUAUAGAACAUUUUUAUUUUGGACUUGCCCAAAAUAUUCCUUGCAAUAACCUAUUACCACCUUCUUGCUCUAUAAAAAUAUUGCAUGCAUGAUUCUGCCAUUUGUCACCGAGUUGCCUCCAGAUGAGGGUAGCUUGUCAGAGGGCCCCCUAUACUUUUUGCGUGAAGCGUGAAGGGCUUGUUUUACUUAGCCGUGAAACGUGAUCAGGCCCCCUAUACUUUUUGCGUGAAGCGUGAAGGGCUUAUUUUACUUAGCCGUGAAACGUGAUCGAUGAUUUUCUUAAUCCGUGACUCGUGAAAAGGCAAAAUAAUUUUACGUGAAAGCAUAUUGUGAAGAGGUAUAGGGGGCCCUCUUGUCAAUGUCACCUUGCUUCAAUUCCUAAAGACCUAAGUGUAAAGCAGAGAUUUAGGACAACCAAAUCAAUAUAAGUUAACUUAUUGAACCAUAGGCAGGUUUAAUAUUAGCUACCCGUACCGGUAUUACUAACUUAUAAAAUUAAUAUGUAUUUUUAAAUAAAUUAUUUUUAUAGCCAAGCAUAAUGUGUUGAUAUAUAUACAGGUCAGUAAAACUUCAUUAUUGCUCGGUACUAUAUUUCGAACUAUUAUAAUAAUCAUGUUUCGCUCGCUACUCUGGUUUAAAUAAAUGAUUACAAAGCCCAGUCGAAUUGCUGGGCUUUGUAAUCAUUUAUUUAAACCAGUCGAGUAGCGAGCGAAACAUGAUUGAUAUACCUGGUUGCAGUGAACGAACAAACUUUAUAUUAUAAUAAUAUAUAAAUUAUAUACAUAUACUAUAUUUGUAAUAACCCAUUAACUAAAUUACUAGUACUUAUCGAGUAUAGUUUAAAUGUUUAAUGCAACACAGAAUUAACUGCAACCACAAACAAUUUUUUUAUUAUAUGCACCUGAUCAUGUCGGCCCAAGAAUAUUUUUAAAUUCUUACAUGUAUACUAGGACUGUGAGCUUAUAGAAUUAUUGUAUCACUGGGUAUAUGAGAUACAUUUGAUGUUUUGUUAAAACUGCUCUCAGAAUGUAGGGAUUAGGGAAUAUCAUUUCUAAGCAUUUAAGGAGUAUGCCCUGCAGCCACCCUUACAGGUUGAAAUUGAACAUGUUUUAGUUGACCAAGUGGCAAGUGGACCAAAUUUUUAGUGGUUGCCAAAUUUAUAUCAUGUCUCCCUAAAUAUAUACUCUUUGUUAAUAGAUACAGUAACAAAAACAGGAUGAAAUGUUCGAUCACUGAGAUAUUUUAGGCCUUUUGAAUUACUUUUAAUUAUUAUUUCAAGUUAGGUUUUCUUCUGGUCGCCAGAUGAAAAAUUUGGUCGCCAGAGGAAAAAUCUGGUCAUAUUUGGCGAUCUGGCAACGGUUCAUUUCAACCCUGCCUUAGAGGUUUCUUGUGCCUUCAUCACUCGACUCGGUAAUAAUCUGAAUCUACUGUAGUUACCUGUCAGUGGUGUAAUUUACUUGUUUUUCAUUCAUUAGGAUGCUGUUAGUCAGUUGUUACAACACAGGGAGGACAAUCCCCAACUCGUGCCGGCAAAGUUUCUUAAUGACUAGUAAGUAAGAAAUGUGUAAACUAUUUCCCUAUAAUGAUGAGAACAUGAAAGAUGAAAUGCCAUUUAAGAGAAUAUCUGAAUUACACACACAUGAUCAAUAUUUCCUUCUGCGCCGUAGCAAGGAGGCUAAAGCAGGGGGGUCGCUAAUUAAUAUUUCUUUUCCCAAAAUUGUUGGCGAGGGGGAGGGGAGGAAAAACAUUUUUCCGGACUUACAAUUUUUGACUAACUUUCGUAUUAAUGUACCGGUAAUUUCUUAAAUUUUUCAGUAAUUUUCCAUUAUUUUUGUAAACUUUAUCCAAAUCUUUGCUAUAGCUGUUACGUUUUAAUCCGCUCGAGCCACUCGAAUAUUUUCGCUGACUAUGAAAACAAUUUGCCGAUAUAUCCGUUAUUUAGCCGACAAGGGGAUGUUAACCCCCCCCCCCCGUAUAACGGCGGCCCUGAUUUCCGUCUUUAGUUUAUUUCUACAUGCCUCCAUAAAUGUUUUCCAUUCCCUAGAAGCCUGGCCACAUUUUCAUACACCAUGCACGUUUAAAUAAGAAUAAUUUUAUUUUGUGUGUGUUGGUGUUAAAUGUACUCAGGUGAAUAUGAUGUUUGUGAUGUUACUCUGAGCGUGCAUCCACACCGGGCAAGCUGAAAAGUUAGCUUGGCCACGGUGGGAAUCGAAUCCGAAAGGUCGCGGGUUCGAUUCUCACCUUGGCCAUGCAAGCUAACUUUUGAGCUUGCCUGCAUGGUGUGGAUGCACACUCAGAGUAAGUAACCAGCACAAUAGGCCGUUAAAAUAUCACAUUUCACACCGCAGUUUUAAGGUUUUCGCAGCUAACCAAGGGACUGUUGGGUGUUGUUGUGAAAUUUUUAAUAAUAAUAGUAAUAGAACUUCCCUUAGCCUCGUUUUAUUAAUAGACUUUUUUGUGUUAUUAAUGACCAUGAACAUGCAAGGCUAUUGAAAAUGACUUUUCGGAGUUUACUCCACCAUUAGGUUAAAAGACUAUACAAAUAUUGAUAUAAGCAACAUUACCACAAGAAAUCCAAUUGCCAAAUCUUACAAAAACAUGGCAUUUUCUAAACACUAUAAAGAACACGGUCCUGGACAAGAGCCGAAACGUUCAGUUAAAGUCUUAAAGAAAACUAAUCCGUGGAUCUUUAGAACGCACAAUAACAGUGGACAUUCUAAUGAUAGUUCUAAUUUUUAUUAAUAGUUUUCUCGAACACGUCAUUUUAUAUGUUGUGGAUCCUUGCACAAGAGCCAGUAACAUUCUUUUAAUAUGCUGAUGAUGGAGUAAACUCCGAAACGUCGUUUUUAGUAAAAAAUGCUUUAUAAGCCUUGUUCUUGCAUGGUCAUAGUUUGACAAAUUGGU
rnacentral:lncRNA from 1 species